CCCCUAGAUGUUCUGGGCCGCACGCGCGCUACACUGAACAGUUCAACAAGUCUUAACCUUGGCCGAAAGGUCUGGGUAAUCUCCAAAUUUCGUCGUGAUGGGGAUAGAUUAUUGCAAUUAUUAAUCUUCAACGAGGAAUGCCUAGUAAGCGCAAGUCAUCAGCUUGCGUUGAUUACGUCCCUGCCCUUUGUACACACCGCCCGUCGCUCCUACCGAUUGAAUGGUCCGGUGAAGCGCUCGGACCGCGGCCUCUUGACGGUUUUCCGUCGAUUGGCUGUGGGAAGUUCGUUAAACCUUAUCAUUUAGAGGAAGGAGAAGUCGUAACA
rnacentral:rRNA from 1 species